rnacentral:rRNA from 1 species
UACGGGGGGGGCAAGCGUUGUUCGGAAUCACUGGGCGUAAAGCGCACGUAGGCGGAUCUUUAAGUCAGGGGUGAAAUCCCGAGGCUCAACCUCGGAACUGCCUUCGAUACUGGCGAUCUUUGAGUCCGGGAGAGGUGAGUGGAACUCCGAGUGUAGAGGUGAAAUUCGUAGAUAUUCGGAAGAACACCAGUGGCGAAGGCGGCUCACUGGCCCGGUACUGACGCUCAGGUGCGAAAGCGUGGGGAGCAAACAGG